GACGAACGCUGGCGGCGUGCCUAAUACAUGCAAGUCGAACGCAAUGGGGACGGGUGAGUAACACGUGGGUAACCUCCCAUCAGAGGGGAUAACCAUUGGAAACAGGUGCUAAACCGAUACAGAUGGACGGAACCGCGGUGCAUUAGCUAGUUGGUGAGGUAACGGCUCACCAAGGCCACGAUGAAUAGACGACCUUGUAGGGUGAGCGGCCACACUGUGACUGAGACACGGCCCAGACUCCUACGGGAGGCAGCAGUAGGGAAUCGUCGGCAAUGGACGAAAGUCUGACCGAGCAACGCCGCGUGAGUGAAGAAGGUUUUCGGAUCGUAAAACUCUGUUGUUAGAGAAGCGGUAUCUAACCAGAAAGCCACGGCUAACUACGUGCCAGCAGCCGCGGUAAUUC
rnacentral:rRNA from 1 species